AAAAGAAAUCACAUGAGAUUGAAAAUGGAGCAAAUACUUCAGGAAAUAUUGACAACACAACCUGGAAUGUCCAUGGCAUUGUGAUUGGUGUCUUCGUGCUUGGGAUUUGUGUAAUCUGCGCAGUAGUUAUAUAUUUCAUAAAGAAAAGGAAACAAGAAAGUACAGAAGCUGGUGUGAAGAACAAUGAGAAUUUAAAUAGCAACACUCCAAUGGUCGUUUAUUCAACUUAUGUAGGAACGUAUCCUAACUAUGGGAAGUCGCGUCAAAAUACUUUGAAUCAAACGUGACAAGGACCUUGCUGUGCAAUGGUAUUUAAAAACAAACAGUGGAACUUCAAUCAUCUGCAUUCCCAUUUUACACCUUCUUCAUUAUUAACAAGAAAUCUUGGCAAGGACAAACACCAUGGAAAUAACUAAAAGACCAGAUGCCCCUGCAUCCACAUUCUGUUGGAUCCAUCAUUCUCCUGAGGCAAUGAAAAAUGUUUCUCCAAAAUGGAGCUGCUGCAAAGCUGCCUAGUGAUGAUAUCACAUCCGUAUCUUCACUAAUUCGGUUAGUGAUUGUCAUGGCAUUGAGCUUUGGACAGAUUGUCUGUUUACAUGGAGCUAGAAUUAAAUGGGCUCCUGGGCUGGUUAGCAGCAACACGUGGAGGGUUAAUUUAAAGCUAACACACCUAAUAGAAAAACAGACAGGACCAUUUUAAAUUACCAAUUUGCACCCUCCCAAGAUGUCAAUGGUAAGUAAAUUCAGGAGAAAUGUAAAACAAUUAGUUGACCAUUGGGUUAAGGCUCUUCCAUGUUGAAUCUAACACUACCUAAUACAACCACAAGCUUGCUUUACAUUCAUAUAUUGCCUCUGCCAAAUAGAUCCAGUAAACAGACAUGCAUUGACAAUAAAGCUGCUGACUGUACCCUUCUGAUUCUACCCUUUGGCUCAGGGUCUUAUGGUUAUUAGUGAGACCAUGUUUUUCCUAUCUUCCUAAAUCACUGGCAGAUCCACACAAAUAGGUGUUGAGACAGGACCGAAUUGAAGCUGACAACUAUAUUGUAAAAGAAACUUUUACAAUACAUGAGAAUACUUUUUUGUGGAGAUCACCGGUAUCUAAGAAACAACACAUUCAAAUUCAAAUCAGUUUUAAUUGCUGCAUUCUCAAAUCUGUGCUGAUUUCUUCUACCUGCCAAAAGAGAGUCCCUUAUGUAAGAGAAUCAAGCAUUUGUAAAGUUCUGCGAUACCAAUACAUGACACAUCAUUAAAAAGGAAGUGACCUGGAUAUUCCAAUGGCCAGAGAAUCAGAGCAGACAGGAGUUACACUUUGAGAACCUGUGGAAUCCCAGACACAGCCGACACCAUGGGAAGCCUCCAGUGGCCAGUUCCCCUGAAUCUUUCUGAAAUACCUCUCAAUCUCCAAGAAUUCAGAGGGUUCGGCUUCCAUUAAGUUGAUAGUUACUCAGGAAAACGGAGAGAAUGAGAAACCAACUGUAACUCCUUGGUAACUAUUAAAGUCAUCACACAAUCCCCAAACUAUGCCUCCCCCAAAUGCCAAACAAGACCGAAGCCACCACAAUUCUAUUCCCUUCUCACAAUCAGUCUGAACAUGCACCAGUCCUGAUGCCGCACUCUGCCCAUAGCCACAACCAGCCAGAAUGUUUGGGACCCAACACGAUCUGUCCAUCAUCAUCCCAUGCUCCCCGAACUUCACUAUGGCCAGUGCCCUUCACCUGUCACUCCAUGAAGGUACCUACACAUUGGCCCUGAUGCCAUCCUUAUCCACAAGCCCUCCAUCUGCCCCAACAGCCACCACCCACCUGCCUUAAUACUCACCCUCACUCACCAACCCAGAUAUCCCCAUCCUCACCUACCCUAAGAUUCGUCAUUCACCUGCCUUAAUGCUCCAUCUUGCCCACCAGCCUCACAUCAAUCACUUACAUCGUACUCUAUCCAUUUGGCAUCCUAACCCUUUUGCUAACUACACCCAAUACCACAUUUACAUGCUCACCCUUUCAUAGCAGCAGUCAAAGGGUCUGAUAGCUGCUGGGCAUUUAAAUCUCAGAAGGUGGCAAAGGACUGAUGUAGAAGAGAGUGCGGUUUAAAUUCCACUAUCUAUCCUGUAUUGUGCAAUAAUGAGGUUCAUUUUAGCUGCACGCUGUAUUU